AUGAACGCUAGCUACAGGCUUAACACAUGCAAGUCGAGGGGCAGCAUGGUCUUAGCUUGCUAAGACUGAUGGCGACCGGCGCACGGGUGAGUAACACGUAUCCAACCUGCCGUCUACUCUUGGACAGCCUUCUGAAAGGAAGAUUAAUACAAGAUGGCAUCAUGAGUCCGCAUGUUCACAUGAUUAAAGGUAUUCCGGUAGACGAUGGGGAUGCGUUCCAUUAGAUAGUAGGCGGGGUAACGGCCCACCUAGUCUUCGAUGGAUAGGGGUUCUGAGAGGAAGGUCCCCCACAUUGGAACUGAGACACGGUCCAAACUCCUACGGGAGGCAGCAGUGAGGAAUAUUGGUCAAUGGGCGAGAGCCUGAACCAGCCAAGUAGCGUGAAGGAUGACUGCCCUAUGGGUUGUAAACUUCUUUUAUAAAGGAAUAAAGUCGGGUAUGCAUACCCGUUUGCAUGUACUUUAUGAAUAAGGAUCGGCUAACUCCGUGCCAGCAGCCGCGGUAAUACGGAGGAUCCGAGCGUUAUCCGGAUUUAUUGGGUUUAAAGGGAGCGUAGAUGGAUGUUUAAGUCAGUUGUGAAAGUUUGCGGCUCAACCGUAAAAUUGCAGUUGAUACUGGAUAUCUUGAGUGCAGUUGAGGCAGGCGGAAUUCGUGGUGUAGCGGUGAAAUGCUUAGAUAUCACGAAGAACUCCGAUUGCGAAGGCAGCCUGCUAAGCUGCAACUGACAUUGAGGCUCGAAAGUGUGGGUAUCAAACAGGAUUAGAUACCCUGGUAGUCCACACGGUAAACGAUGAAUACUCGCUGUUUGCGAUAUACGGCAAGCGGCCAAGCGAAAGCGAUAAGUAUUCCACCUGGGGAGUACGCCGGCAACGGUGAAACUCAAAGGAAUUGACGGGGGCCCGCACAAGCGGUGGAGCAUGUGGUUUAAUUCGAAGCAACGCGAAGAACCUUACCAGGGCUUGACAUAUAAAGUAAUAUUUAAGAGAUUAAAUAGCUCUUCGGAGACUUUAUACAGGUGGUGCAUGGUUGUCGUCAGCUCGUGUCGUGAGAUGUUGGGUUAAGUCCCGCAACGAGCGCAACCCUUACUGUCAGUUACUACGCAAGAGGACUCUGGCAGGACUGCCGUUGACAAAACGGAGGAAGGUGGGGAUGACGUCAAAUCAUCAUGCCCUUUAUGACUUGGGCUACACACGUACUACAAUGGCGUUAAACAAAGAGAAGCAAGACCGCGAGGUGGAGCAAAACUCAGAAACAACGUCCCAGUUCGGACUGCAGGCUGCAACUCGCCUGCACGAAGUCGGAAUUGCUAGUAAUCGUGGAUCAGCAUGCCACGGUGAAUACGUUCCCGGGCCUUGUACACACCGCCCGUCACACCAUGAGAGCCGGGGGGACCCGAAGUCGGUAGUCUAACCGCAAGGAGGACGCCGCCGAAGGUAAAACUGGUGAUUGGGGUG
rnacentral:rRNA from 1 species